UUCAAUCGAUCUUUCUCUUCACUCCCCGUGUCCCAUUCUCUAUCUCCCGUCUCAAAUCUCUCAUCUCCCUCUCUGUAGUCUCUCUGCAUAAAUUUUGAAACCCUAUUGCUGCAGAUGGGUACAAGGAAGAUCUCCAAGAUGUAGAUCAAUGGAGAAUUAUUCAAUACCCUAAAGGCAACGCGUCAGGCAAGAGAUGGGUACAAGGAAGAUCUCCAAGAUGUAGAUCAAUGGAGAAUUUAUUCACCACCCUAAAGGCACCGCGUCAUGCAAGAGUCAAUCAUGGUGAAAAGUCAGAGAAGUUCUUAGGAAUUGAUUUUAAAAGAUGGCAGUAGAAAAUGCUAUCUUACUACUCUUAACCUGACACGUUUUCUCCGUGAGGAUGCACCUAUUCUGAAAAAGGAUGAAAUCGACCAGCAAGUGGUUACUGCGGUCGAUGCCUGAAAACAUAUUGAUUUCCUUUGCCGAAAUUACAUUUUGAACGGACUUGAUAACAUAUUGUACAACAUCUACAGUCUUAUCAAGAUGGCAAACGAACUUUGGGAGUCUUUGGAGAAAAAAUACAAGACAGAAGAUGCUGGCUCAAAGAAAUUUGUGGUUGGUGAAUUCUUGGACUUUGUGAUGGUUGAUUCUAAGACUGUGAUCAGCCAAGUUCAAGAUCUCCAACUUAUUUUGUAUGACAUUCAUGUAGAAGGCAUGUCUUUUAGUGAAUCCUUUCAAGUUGCUGUCUUAAUUGAAAAAUUAUCACAAGGCUAGAAGAAAUUCAAGAACUACUUCAAACACAAGCACAAGAAAUGACUCUAGAGGAAUUGACUGUGCAUUUGAGGAUUAAGAAGGACAACUGCAAUUCUGAGAAGCGGGUUGGUAAGCAUCCAAUGGAGUCUGAGGCUAAUGUGGUGGAACAUGCUCCAAAAACAAAGAAAUGAAAGUUUUCUAAAGAAAGUUUCUCACAAGGCUCUAAAGGGGGGGAAACUAAAAAGUACAAGUUUAAUGGCAAAUAUUACAUCUGUGAAAAAGAGGGACAUUGGGUUAAAGAUUGCCGUAACAAGCGCAAAGGCAAAGGAAGAUCAAACAAGAAGCCUGCUCAAGCCAAAAUGACCGAAGUUGAUAAAAUUUCCAAUGGUGUUGAGGACAUAAAUCUUUCUGCAAUUGUUCCCGCGGCAAACCUUGUCAGAAAUCCUAAAGAAUGAUGGGUGGACAUUGGUGUUACUUGCCACAUCUGUGUCGACAAAGAGAUGUUCACAUCUUUUUUCUGUAGUCGACAAUGGCGAACAACUUUUUAUGGGCAACUCCUCGACUUCUAAUGUUGAAGGACAAUGAAAGAUUAUUUUGAAGAUGACAUCUGAAAAUGAACUCACUCUCAACAAUGUGCUGCAUGUACCGGACAUUCACAAAAAUCUAGUCUCUGAAUCUCUGUUGAGUAAAAAUGGGUUUAGGUUAGUUUUUGAAAGAGACAAAUUUGUACUUACCAAAAACAGGAUGUAUAUAGGAAAAAGUUACAAGUCUGAUAGCCUUUUCAAAAUGAAUGUAAUGACUGUUGUACCCUCUAUUAUUAAUAA